rnacentral:tRNA from 1 species
GCCUGGGUGGCUCAGUCGGUUAAGUGUCUGACUUCAGCUCAGGUCAUGAUCUCACAGUCUGUGGGUUCGAGCCCCGCAUCAGGCU